rnacentral:rRNA from 1 species
AGAGUUUGAUCCUGGCUCAGGACGAACGCUGGCGGCGUGCCUAACACAUGCAAGUCGAACGGAGUAUUCAGCAAUGGAUACUUAGUGGCGAACGGGUGAGUAACGCGUAGAUAAUCUGCCUCAAAGAUGGGGACAACACUUGGAAACGAGUGCUAAUACCGAAUGUGGUAUCUUGUGUGCAUACGUGAGAUAAAAAAGAU